GUGAUGGAUCACCGUUUCAGUGGCAUUUAAAUCCCCGGCGCUCCUCAGUCGGGGUGACGCGCAGUCGCCCCCCCAGGCAGCCCAGGCGGCGGCCGCAGCCCGGGCGGCCGCGAGGGCAGGUUCCGGGCGCUGGGGCGAAGGGGAGCGGAGGCCGUCUCCCGCGCGCGCCGGCUCCGCUCGCCCCCCCUCCGGGAGGUGGGGGCUGGGGAGCAUCCCCUCCCUCCCCGGGCCAGCCCCCCGCCCCGCCGCGCACAGAAAAAGGAACUGACGAGAGAAAGCGUUUGAUUUAUGAGCGGAGGACGAAUCGCAAACGGCUGAGGCUCAGCCCGGGCCCGUUGCCGGGCAGCCCCGCGCCGCCGCGCCGCGCCGAGGGCAGGAAACCCGCCGGGGUCCUCACCAGCCUCCGCCGCUCCCGGGAUUUAGGAGGCCACAAGGGUGGGGGGAGGCAGGGAGCAAACCCCUGGAGAAAGAUGCCGAUUUCAUCAUAACUUACAAGCCUGCGCUGGGGAGAGUCUUAAAUCAAGGCUCUUACAUCAACCCGCCCCCACACAUGUUGCUUAGACGCUGCGUUUUCUCACGGACUGUUUGCUGGACCCAUCAACAGCUGGGAGACCAAUCAACCAUACUGGAAAUGUCCGACAUUGGCGGGGGAGGGGUGGACUGUAGAUGUUUGAAACAAAUGUGUAUAAAUAAAUGAAUUGGUAGCUUGUUAAAGAAAGUCCGUGUCCCUGGAGUUUGGGGGUUUCUGUAGGCACUUUAUUUCUCCACUUUCAAAAGCUUGGGCUGGGCCCACCUCUGAGGCUUCCCAAUCCUGUUUCUAUGACCAAGUUAAAUCUAUGGCUUGAGCCUCUACAAUGAAAAAACAAAUCCAUUCCCCUAAAAAAAAAAAAAAGAAAGAAAGAAA